GCCAGGCAUGGUGGCACGUGCCUGUAGUCCCAGCUACUCUGGAGGCUGAGGUGGGAGGAUCACUUUAGCCCUGAAGUUCUGGGCAUAGUGUACUAUGCCAAUUAGACAUCCACACUAAGUUUGGCAUCAACAGGGUGACCUCCCAGGAGUGAAGGACCACCAGGCUUCCUAAGGAGGGAUGGACUGGCCCAGGUCGGAAAUGGAACAGGUCAAAACUCCUUUACUAAUUAGUGGUAGGAUCACACCUGUAACUAGUGUCUGUACUCCAGCUUGAACAAUGUAACAAGAACCCAUCUUU
rnacentral:SRP_RNA from 1 species